CUUUCUGUAGUGCAAUGGGUCAGUGCGUCUGGCUGUUCACUGGGAAGGUUGGUGGUUCGAGCCCACUCAGGGAUU